CCUACGGGUGGCAGCAGUGGGGAAUAUUGGACAAUGGGGGGAACCCUGAUCCAGCCAUGCCGCGUGUGUGAAGAAGGCCCUCGGGUUGUAAAGCACUUUCAGUGAGGAAGAACGCCUGGUGGUUAAUACCCAUCAGGAAAGACAUCACUCACAGAAGAAGCACCGGCUAACUCCGUGCCAGCAGCCGCGGUAAUACGGAGGGUGCGAGCGUUAAUCGGAAUUACUGGGCGUAAAGCGCGCGUAGGUGGCUUGAUAAGCCGGUUGUGAAAGCCCCGGGCUCAACCUGGGAACGGCAUCCGGAACUGUCAAGCUAGAGUGCAGGAGAGGAAGGUAGAAUUCCCGGUGUAGCGGUGAAACGCGUAGAGAUCGGGAGGAAUACCAGUGGCGAAGGCGGCCUUCUGGACUGACACUGACACUGAGGUGCGAAAGCGUGGGUAGCAAACAGGAUUAGAUACCCCUGUAGUC
rnacentral:rRNA from 1 species